rnacentral:rRNA from 1 species
UGGAAUGGUUUAUGUUUCAAAUAAUUUAUUGCCGUAGGAUGGGACUGCGGCCUAUCAGUUUGUUGGUGAGGUAAUGGCCCACCAAGACUAUUACAGGUACGGGCUCUGAGAGGAGUAGCCCGGAGAUGGGUACUGAGACACGGACCCAGGCCCUAUGGGGCGCAGCAGGCGAGAAAACUUUGCAAUGUGCGAAAGCACGACAAGGUUAAUCCGAGUGGUUUCUGCUAAAGGAACCUUUUGUCAGUCCUAGAAACACUGAUGAAUAAGGGGUGGGCAAGUUCUGGUGUCAGCCGCCGCGGUAAAACCAGCACCUCAAGUGGUCAGGAUGAUUAUUGGGCCUAAAGCAUCCGUAGCCUGCUUUGUAAGUUUUCGGUUAAAUCCAUACGCUCAACGUAUGGGCUGCCGGGAAUACUGCAAAACUAGGGAGUGGGAGAGGUAGACGGUACUCGGUAGGAAGGGGUAAAAUCCUUUGAUCUAUUGAUGACCACCUGUGGCGAAGGCGGUCUACCAGAACACGUCCGACGGUGAGGGAUGAAAGCUGGGGGAGCAAACCGGAUUAG